rnacentral:sRNA from 1 species
UUUUUUCCGUUAGGGAUUGAUACGGCAUCCUUUUUUUUUAUUUCUAAAAAAAAGAUAUAGUGGAAAGCCCGACCUUUG